UAAGACGAACCGUCCUAACGUUGUUCGGAAUCACUGGGCUUAAAGGGCGCGUAGGCGGCCCGCGUAGUCGGGGGUGAAAUCCCACGGCCUAACCGUGGAAGUGCCUCCGAUACUGGCGGGCUCGAGGGGGGUAGGGGCGGGCGGAACUUCCGGUGGAGCGGUGAAAUGCGUUGAUAUCGGAAGGAACGCCGGUGGCGAAAGCGGCCCGCUGGACCCCAUCUGACGCUGAGGCGCGAAAGCCAGGGGAGCAAACGGGAUUAGAUACCCCGGUAGUCCUGGCCCUAAACGAUGGGCACUAGGUUGUGGACUGGUCAUGGGUUCACAGCCGAAGCAAAAGUGUUAAGUGCCCCGCCUGGGGAGUAUGGUCGCAAGGCUG
rnacentral:rRNA from 1 species